rnacentral:rRNA from 1 species
UACAGAGGUCCCAAGCGUUGUUCGGAUUCAUUGGGCGUAAAGGGUGUGUAGGUGGCGCCGUAAGUCGGGUGUGAAAUUUCGGAGCUUAACUCCGAAACUGCAUUCGAUACUGCGGUGCUUGAGGACUGGAGAGGAGACUGGAAUUUACGGUGUAGCGGUGAAAUGCGUAGAUAUCGUAAGGAAGACCAGUGGCGAAGGCGGGUCUCUGGACAGUUCCUGACGCUGAGGAGCGAAAGCGUGGGGAGCGAACAGG